rnacentral:lncRNA from 1 species
AUGUGGGCCUGCUGGGGGAAGCGGCGCCUCGGGCCUGGCCUGGGCCUGGGCCCAGGGGCCUGUCCUGGCCCUCGGGGCUCCACUCCCCUCAGAGCGGGACGCUGCUGGCCUCACCCCCCUGCUCUCCCCCAUCACAGACCGCCAACUCCACUGCCCUGCAGCAAUUUUAACAAAACUGAAGUUUUCCCCUCUCCCUUGACUGCCAUGUCGGUGGGAUACCUGGCCAGGAGAGCAGGAGGCACCUGGGCAAAGAGGAAAGCGGGAAAUGCAGUGGAUCAAAAUGAAGAUACGAAUUCCUCUGUGGGAAGGUGGCAUACGAAACAUUUGCAGCUGUGUGGUUUGGGCACCACAUGUUCUGAAGAAAUACACAGUUGGACUGUCUACACUGAAGUGGUGAAUUCCUGAGCUUGUACUACCUGAGAUAACUUCUUGGCUGAAAAGGGCAUCCUUGUCUAUAACUUUGCUCAUGAGAAAGGUGGAGACUUAAGAAGGAGAAGUGGAGGUGGAAAAAGGGAAAAGAAGAAAUGAGGGGAAGCAGCAGAGGAAGGAUGGUAUGCCAAGUUAUUUUCAACUUAGACAAUUUUGGAGGUUUGCCUAAAGGAAAGUAAAAUAAAAUAAAGGCACUAAAACUCA